AGAUUGAACGCUGGCGGCAUGCCUUACACAUGCAAGUCGAACGGCAGCACGGGAGCAAUCCUGGUGGCGAGUGGCGAACGGGUGAGUAAUACAUCGGAACGUGCCCAAUCGUGGGGGAUAACGCAGCGAAAGCUGUGCUAAUACCGCAUAAGAUCUACGGAUGAAAGCAGGGGAUCGCAAGACCUUGCGCGAAUGGAGCGGCCGAUGGCAGAUUAGGUAGUUGGUGAGGUAAAGGCUCACCAAGCCUUCGAUCUGUAGCUGGUCUGAGAGGACGACCAGCCACACUGGGACUGAGACACGGCCCAGACUCCUACGGGAGGCAGCAGUGGGGAAUUUUGGACAAUGGGCGAAAGCCUGAUCCAGCCAUGCCGCGUGCAGGAUGAAGGCCUUCGAGUUAGUAACUGUCUUUUGUACGGAACGUAAAAGUCUACUUUCUAAUAAAGAGGAUCAUGACGUACGUAAGAAUAAGCACGACUAACUACG
rnacentral:rRNA from 1 species